AAGCUAAGCAGUCUUUGUCAGGGUGCAC
rnacentral:piRNA from 1 species